AUUGAACGCUGGCGGAAUGCUUUACACAUGCAAGUCGAACGGCAGCACGGACUUCGGUCUGGUGGCGAGUGGCGAACGGGUGAGUAAUGUAUCGGAACGUGCCCAGUCGUGGGGGAUAACGUAGUGAAAAUUACGCUAAUACCGCAUACGAUCUAUGGAUGAAAGCGGGGGAUCGCAUGACCUCGCGCGAUUGGAGCGGCCGAUAUCAGAUUAGGUAGUUGGUGGGGGAAAGGCCCACCAAGCCAACGAUCUGUAGCUGGUCUGAGAGGACGACCAGCCACACUGGAACUGAGACACGGUCCAGACUCCUACGGGAGGCAGCAGUGGGGAAUUUUGGACAAUGGGCGAAAGCCUGAUCCAGCCAUUCCGCGUGCAGGAUGAAGGCCCUCGGGUUGUAAACUGCUUUUGUACAGAACGAAAAGGUUUCUACUAAUACUAGGAGCUCAUGACGGUACUGUAAGAAUAAGCACCGGCUAACUACGUGCCAGCAGCCGCAGUAA
rnacentral:rRNA from 1 species